GCAAAAAGGACCUGAGGUGGGAAAAGUUGGAGGAUUUGAGGACAGUGAGCAGGUGAGUGACCCGAGGGAGUGAGUUCUGUUAGAAACAGCCCCCCCCAUUCCCCCUCCCGUCUCUUGGUUCUCUAACCCAAACACAAAUGACAAUUCUUAAACACAGAAGUGUCUGGAAGUCCCAGAGUUCUGGCACUAGAGGCCUGUUUGCUGCUCAGCUGUCUCCCAGGCUUGCUCCUGCAGGGGUGAAUCACCAGGUCUCAUGUUUCCUAAAGAGGUAAUGGACCCUUUUCUCACGAGGUGCCUCCCUCUGCCCGGCAUUCUGGGAGUUUCUGGAAGCCAGGACACCUGUGAGCAUCCUGAGCAUCUGGGAAUGGUCCUGUCUGACUCCCCACCGUUCUCCUCCGCUGCCUCUGCCAUUGUGUGCUGUGGCCUCAGCAGGACGUGAGGCCGGGCAUGGGUUCGAGUUCUGACAUUCAGAACUCUGUGAGCCUCCAUUUUUUCAUGAGAAAAGGAAAGGAAAAGAGGACUGGGCAAUGGCGUGAAAGUCUCCGUCCAUCACCCGGGAGGAAGGGUUGGAGAGCUAUUCGCACAGGGAAUAGUAUGCAGCCUUUAAGAAGAGCCAUUGCUGGUCACCACAGAGUUUGCUUUAGAGUCUGUUUGUAAGCUGUCUUUCCUCCAUAAUUUGUUUUAUAUUAAAACAAACAAACCAGGAUGCA